rnacentral:rRNA from 1 species
UACGUAUGGAGCAAGCGUUAUCCGGAUUUACUGGGUGUAAAGGGUGCGUAGGCAGUCUGCCAAGUCAGAUGUGAAAUACCGGGGCUCAACCCCGGAGCUGCAUUUGAAACUGGCGGACUGGAGUCCGGGAGAGGCAGGCGGAAUUCCUAGUGUAGCGGUGAAAUGCGUAGAUAUUAGGAAGAACACCAGUGGCGAAGGCGGCCUGCUGGACCGGUACUGACGCUCAGGCACGAAAGCGUAGGGAGCAAACAGGAUUAGAUACCCU